CUCUUGUCUUCCACCGAACCACCACCAAUCCUUCUCCUUAAUUGACCAUUGUUGUUCCGGCGAGACUGGGGCAUGCAAUUCCACCAUCAUUUUCAUCUCCUCAUUCUCUUCCAAACCAUGUCUCUAAAUCUUCCAUUCACCCAUGAUUUUGGUGAGAUCGAAAUCGGAGUAGGCCAGCCGUCUCCAUAGAUUUCCAGCGAAGCUGCAAGCUCCGGUGAGCUGGUCUGACUCUCUCUUGUUGAUCUUUUCUAUCUCAACGAGAUGGAGAACGUCUACAACCCAGAAACUCCUCCAUUGGUACUCUCUCCUUCCCUCUUUAGUUUUGGACCUUUAUCUUAAACCGAAUCUUCUUUUGUCUUUGUUUUGCAAACGAUGAACCUAUGCUGCAAACAUCUCCGGCGAUUAUUCCCUUCACUUCUAUAUGUCGAGAUGGGCUAGAAAAGGGGCAAGGAUGAGUUUUGGGAAGCAGCAUAGCAUAGGAAAAUGCAGCAACCUGGAAUACGGUGAGGAGAAGCCUUCGGGGACUACUAUUGUGUUUCUGGAAAUCAAUCAAGAGUUAAUGCUACGAGAUCGAGCAAAGGAGGAGCAUCAACAAUUACUUUUAUGAGUUGGAUAAUGGCUGAGAUUCUGCACGUCAUCUAGGUAGAGGAGUUAACUCUCAUAUGUUGUAUUUGGCCAAUUAUAAAUUGCAUAGUUCCCGGUUGUUGAUUUAUUGAUGUAAUAAUGUUGUGAAAACCCGAGAAUAGGCACGAUUUCGAGAUAGGGUAAGUAGUGAAUCUUUGCGUGUGUUGACCUGAGAGUGACAUGACACUAGUAUUUUAGGUAAUCCUAUGAUGUUGAUGACCGUGAACCUCCAGAGGGGUAAUGCCUUAUUUAUUAUUGGAUCAAUUAUUUUAUAUACUAUUGAGGGCAUUCCAUUUAAAUUGACACUCUCGUUACUCUGUUAUUAUGACAGAGGUGUAGUUGACCUCGACUAUUUAGCCGCUAGGAUUGGUCGAAGUUGAAUUUGCCCUAUCCUACCUUUGGAGCUCCACAAACUAUUUUAUCAUGAUAUUUCUCAUACUUGCAUAAUUUAUUUAAAUGUGAUUUUCUCUGGCCAGAAACUUACCCUCAAUGUUUUAUAAAAAUAUGUUUUAUAUCCCUACUUGCUUUUUCAACCCUCAUGGACGGGCUGGCCCUUACUGGGCAAGUGAGGACGACGCUCACCCUACUUUAGUU